AUUGAACGCUAGCGGGAUGCUUUACACAUGCAAGUCGAACGAGUGGCGGACGGGUGAGUAAUAUAUCGGAACGUGCCCAGUAGCGGGGGAUAACUACUCGAAAGAGUGGCUAAUCCCGCAUCCUAUUGGAGCGGCCGAUAUCGGAUGAGCUAGUUGGUGGGGUAAAGGCUCACCAAGGCAACGAUCCGUAGCUGGUUUGAGAGGCCGACCAGCCACACGGGGACUUAGACACGGCCAAGACGCCUACGGUAGGCAGCAGUGGGGAAUGUUGGACAAUGGGGGAAACACUGAGCCAGCCAUCCCGCGUGUAUGAGAAGGCCUUGGGGUUGUAAAGUACUUUUGGCAGAGAAGCGGUAUCUGCAGAAUAAGCACCGGCUAACUACGUGCCAGCAGCCGCGGUAAUUC
rnacentral:rRNA from 1 species